rnacentral:tRNA from 2 species
AGCCCCGUAGUGCAGAUGGCUAACGCGCCUGACUGUCUAUCAGGAGAUCGCGGGUUCGAGUCCCGUCGGGGUUGCCA